ACUCCUACGGGAGGCAGCAGUGGGGAAUAUUGGACAAUGGGCGAAAGCCUGAUCCAGCCAUGCCGCGUGUGUGAAGAAGGUCUUCGGAUUGUAAAGCACUUUAAGUUGGGAGGAAGGGCAGUUACCUAAUACGUAAUUGUUUUGACGUUACCGACAGAAUAAGCACCGGCUAACUCUGUGCCAGCAGCCGCGGUAAUACAGAGGGGUGCAAGCGUUAAUCGGAAUUACUGGGCGUAAAGCGCGCGUAGGUGGUUUGUUAAGUUGGAUGUGAAAUCCCCGGGGCUCAACCUGGGAACUGCAUUCAAAACUGACUGACUAGAGUAUGGUAGAGGGUGGUGGAAUUUCCUGUGUAGCGGUGAAAUGCGUAGAGAUCUGAAGGAAUACCGGUGGCGAAGGCGGCCCCUGGACAGAUACUGACACUCAGAUGCGAAAGCGUGGGGAGCAAACAGGAUUAGA
rnacentral:rRNA from 1 species